rnacentral:rRNA from 1 species
GACGAACGCUGGCGGCGUGCUUAACACAUGCAAGUCGAGCGGUAAGGCCUUUCGGGGUACACGAGCGGCGAACGGGUGAGUAACACGUGGGUGAUCUGCCCUGCACUUCGGGGUAAGCCUGGGAAACUGGGUCUAAUACCGGAUAUGACCUCCUAUCGCAUGGUGGGUGGUGGAAAGAUUUAUCGGUGCAGGAUGGGCCCGCGGCCUAUCAGCUUGUUGGUGGGGUAAUGGCCUACCAAGGCGACGACGGGUAGCCGACCUGAGAGGGUGACCGGCCACACUGGGACUGAGACACGGCCCAGACUCCUACGGGAGGCAGCAGUGGGGAAUAUUGCACAAUGGGCGAAAGCCUGAUGCAGCGACGCCGCGUGAGGGAUGACGGCCUUCGGGUUGUAAACCUCUUUCAGCAGGGACGAAGCGCAAGUGACGGUACCUGCAGAAGAAGCACCGGCUAACUACGUG